UGGGGAAUAUUGGACAAUGGGCGAAAGCCUGAUCCAGCCAUGCCGCGUGUGUGAAGAAGGUCUUCGGAUUGUAAAGCACUUUAAGUUGGGAGGAAGGGCAGUAAGCGAAUACCUUGCUGUUUUGACGUUACCGACAGAAUAAGCACCGGCUAACUCUGUGCCAGCAGCCGCGGUAAUACAGAGGGUGCAAGCGUUAAUCGGAAUUACUGGGCGUAAAGCGCGCGUAGGUGGUUCGUUAAGUUGAAUGUGAAAGCCCCGGGCUCAACCUGGGAACUGCAUCCAAAACUGGCGAGCUAGAGUAGGGCAGAGGGUGGUGGAAUUUCCUGUGUAGCGGAGAAAUGCGUAGAUAUAGGAAGGAACACCAGUGGCGAAGGCGACCACCUGGGCUGAUACUGACACUGAGGUGCGAAAGCGUGGGGAGCAAACAGG
rnacentral:rRNA from 1 species